rnacentral:lncRNA from 1 species
UCAUAUCUUAUAACAGUUCUGGAAUAUUCUCAACCAAUAUCUCGUCCUUAUGACUCUUUCACUGUUUUCUUUCCCCCCUUUUGUAUUUUCCAUCUGCAUGUGCCUGGUCUGCAGUCUGAACAAUUUCCUCAUAUCCUUCUUCUAGUUCGUUGAAAUUCAUCCUUUCUAAUCAGCUGAUCAACUCACCUAUUUACUUAAAGAAGAAGAAGAAGAAGAAGAAGAAGAAGAAGAGAGAGAGAGAGAGAGGUGCUGAGGAUGGAACCCAGCGCCCCGCGCACGCCAGGCGAGCGCGUAAUUACCGCUUGAGCCACAUCCCCAGCCCCUAACCUAUUUACUUUUAGGUUAUUGUCAGACUUAAAGUUAUAUUUUGUCCUUUUUCAAUUUUAUCUUUUUUGGUUUGUUGUUGUUGUUACUGGGGAUUGAACUCCAGGAUGCUUCACCACUGAGCUACAUCCCCAGAACUUUUAAAUUUUUUUUUUUUUUUUUAUUCUGAGACAGGGUCUCACUGAGUUGCUUAAGUUCUUCCUAAAUUGCUGAGGCUGCCUUUGAACUUGAGAUCCUCCUGUCUCAGCUUCCUGACUUGCUGGGAUUACAGGCAAGCACCACCACCUCAGUUAAAAAUCAGUUUUUAUCUUGUUUUUAGUGGUGCUGGGGAUUGAACUCAGGGAGUUUUGCCUGCUAGGCAAGCACUCUAUCACUGAGCUAUAACCCCAGCCUAAAUAAUUUUGAUGGCUUCUUUGUUCGUGGUUUCUGGAUUCCAGCUUAGAUUCCUUAAACAUUCAUACAUAUAUGCUAUACUUAGUAAUGCCAAUUUCCUAGUGCUUAGUGUUUGGGGGGAAGAGUGUCCAAAUCUAUUAUUUAUUUUUUUCUGCUGAGCUCAGUAAUAGCCUAGUAUUUUUUUGAAAAUUUGGUGGAUUUUUUUUUUUUUUGGAGGGGUGCAGGUCCUGUACAUGGUAGGCACAUGCUCUACCCCUGAGCUAUACUCCCAGCCCCUGGUAAUUUAUGAUGUCUGCCCAUAUCUGUAACGAUCUGAAGUCCUAACUUAGGGACAGUUUCCUUCAGAGAUGGGAAAUGACCAUCUUAGGCUCUGCUGAGGGUCCUGGCUUAGUGCUCUCCCGUGCAUAGCACCCACACUUUUUUUCCCCUGAGAGUGCUUGACUCUCUAUCCCUGUAUCCAGGGAAUUGUCUGCUUUCCCAUCAGUUUCCCUGCAUCAUGGGCUUCUUUUCAUUAUUCUAGUUGUUUGUUGGCUUAUUUAGUGUUUUUAUGGUACUGGAGAUUGAAUCCAGGGGCGCUCUACCACUAAGCUGUAUCUCCAGCCCUUUUUUUAAAAAAAUAUUUUUAUUAGUUGUUGAUAGGCUUUUCAUUUAUUUAUGUGGUGCUGAGAAUUGAACCCAGUGCCUUACUCGUGCUAGGCAAGUGCUCUUCCACUGAGCCACAACCCCAGCCCCUCCAGCUUUUUUCUCCUCCCUCCCUCCCUCCCUCCCUCCCUCCCUCUCCCCCCCCCCUCUCUCUUUCAAGACAAGAAUCUUGCUAGUUGCCCAGACUGGCUUGAAUUUGUGGGCCUCCCAACUGGGCCUCCCAAAUAGCUGGGAAACAAGUGUGUGCCACUGCACCUGUCUGCUGAUUUAUAAUGUCUAAUUGUGUGUGUGGGGGGGGUAUUUGAGAUAUUUCUUUCCUUGUAAGUCCAACAGUGUAUUAAAAAUGACUGCUCACUGUGAUUUAACA